rnacentral:rRNA from 1 species
CCCUUAGAUGUUCUGGGCUGCACGCGCGCUACACUGAUGCGCUCAACGAGUUUUAACCUUGCCUGGAAAGGUUGGGUAAUCUUUUUAAAACGCAUCGUGAUGGGGAUAGAUUAUUGCAAUUAUUAAUCUUCAACGAGGAAUUCCUAGUAAGGCCGUGUCAUCAGCGCGGCCUGAUUACGUCCCUGCCCUUUGUACACACCGCCCGUCGCUCCUACCGAUUGAAUGAUCCGGUGAGGUCUUUGGACUGAGGCGACGCAGACGGUUCGCCGCCCGCGACGCCCUGGGAAGCUGCCCAAACCUUAUCAUUUAGAGGAAGGAGAAGUCGUAACA